rnacentral:lncRNA from 1 species
GCAGAAUCGCGACAUAUCCAACCAAUACAUUUCAAAUUUGGGACCACUUUGCGGUCUCUUUCGCGAUAUGCAGUCCUUUUUACGUCCAUAGAUCUGUUUCGGGCAGAUGUUUGGGAAAUCUCCCAUCAGACCCUAUUUCUAAUAAAAGGCCUAAAAUGUGUUUUAGAGAGACAAAUACAACUAUUUGGAGGGGAAUAACUAUCCUCGAGAGAGCAAGAGGAGCUCCAACACUUUUACACUUCAAGAUUUGAUCUCGAGUCUUGGAAUUCUAAGGCUCAAUUGAAAAGUCCUUACAAGUGUAAGAUUCCAUCCCUAGCUCUCAUACAAAUUUCAAUAAUGGGAACUUUAGAUGGAAAAUUGAAUGUUGGAGCUUAUGGGAUGGUGACUGAAAGGCAUACACUUCCAACCAUGAGUUUUGGUAUAGUGGAGAGUAGAUAGAAAGUAUUAUUUGAUGUAGUUGUAGGUUAGGUAUAGUAUGGGUGACCAUGCAUGUAUUGUUAAAGGUCACACACUACCUAAGGGUGGCAAUGGGUGUGAACGUAGUCAUGGAAGAGAGUGUGAAGGAUGAGGUAGCACCAUUACUAAGGUGGUAGAGGGAUAUACCCUCUAGGUGUUCUAUAAAAUGUUUAAACUGCUUAAAAAUAUUGAAACCCUCACUAAUGUUGGUUCAAUUGAAUUUUGUGAUGUAGAUUGAAGUAUUAGGUGUAGUGAAACAUAGUAAGAACCAUACGGAAGCCUAAUUACGGUAUGUUGGCUAAGAUCUUCCCUUAGAAUUGAAUUUCGUGAACUCCUUAUAAACUCCAAGUAUGUUUUGUUCAAGUUUCCAUUUUUCCUUUGCUCCCAAUUGCUUCAAAUGACUGAAUUACCAAAUGCUUAUGAAAUCGGUUCAUGUUACAUUUUCCAUCGUUGAGCUCUCAUCUUUACAAAGAUUUCAAGUGUUCUAAGCUUUCAUAUACUCAUGUAUUUGUAGCUAUAAUUUUUCAAUGCAUUAAAUACCUUUUGAUGACUUUCGAUAACCCACGACAUAUGAAUGAAAUGAAUAAAUGAGUAUGAUAUGCAACCAUUUUUGCUAGGAAUGAAAGAUAUAUGCAUGUUCAAAGAGUGUCAAUAAAAAGUAAGAUUUUAUGAAUUACUAUAUAAAAAUGUUUUUGGGAGUAUUAUUAUGUAACAGAGAAGGUAUAGGUUGCAAGGACCUAUACCCAAAAUUACAUGUGCCGGUAUAGAAAGAGCAUAGGGAAUUAGUCCAUUCGUGCUAUGAUGUGAUUAUAACUAUUAAUUGGGAUGAAUGUUUUGCUACAAAAUUUACGUUAAUUCACAUGGCAGUGUAGUGAUACGACUUAGUUGACCGGGCCAAGAUCAGAUACCAGGACGCAUAUAGGAUGAUUAUACAUUCGUAUAUCAGUAACUAAUGAUCUCCCAACUAAAGUGAUAAUGUUUAUUUGAAAUGUUUUACUCAUGUUAUAUUAUCUUCUUAUGUUAUAACAUGUUCUCAUACAUUUUUAGUUAUUUACUCCUCCCAUAUUGUUCUCCCUGUGAGGCAUUCUAUUUCAUGUGAUGAUAUUAGCACUUAAUUCUAGUACUAUUCCAAGUGUGCUAAUGUCCCUUUUGCAGGGGAUACUGUAUCUUUAAUGGAUGUAGGUGGUACCUCUACAAGCGGCACAAAUUCACGAUAGGAGUGUACCCUCUCUCCAGCUGAUUGUGGUGAGCUCUACUCUACACAAGGGCCCUCAUGUUGUAUCUUUGUCUUUUGUACAUUAGUUUUGAGUAUAGAUGGGGCCUUAUCACCAAUAUUUCCUUACUUUACUCAUGACUAUUUAGGGGCCCCAUAGACGAAUUGUGGGCCAAGUUAUGUUUGAGAAAACAUAAAUGUUGUUUUGUCAUUUUGC